AGUGUAUGAAUGCUUUGUGUUCUGACAAAGAGAAUGUAGCACCCAGGUCCUACCUGCUUGGAUGCAUUGCCAGUGCCCACGUCAUUGCUUAUUUAAAAUCUACAACUGCUGACGUUUUGUAACGUUCGCAUUCCAGAUACAACAGAGAAAUGCAUAAUGUCCAGUCAAUUUAUUAAAGUUCCAAAGUCGGUCGCGCGCAGUGGCUCACGCCUGUAAUCUCAACACUUCGGGAGGCCGAGGCGUGUGGAUCACGAGGUCAGGAGUUGGAGACUAGCCUGAUCAACAUGGUGAAACCCCGUCUCUACUAAAAAUACAAAAAUUAGCCAGGCAGGGUGGCACGCGGCUGUAAUCCCCGCUACUCAGGAGGCUGAGGCAGGAGAAUUGCUUGAACCUGGGAGGCAGAGGUUGCAGUGAGCAGAGAUGACGCCACCAUACUCC
rnacentral:misc_RNA from 1 species